AAGAGUAAAGUACUUCCGCUUCCUUAGGUGGAGCUGGAAAGGUGGAGGCGGAAGUGACUGAUCAAUUCAGGGGCGUGGGGUUCGUUUAGGUUUUGCCCUGUGUAUGACCUCGUUUGGAGCCAUGAAACCAGGUGGCUUUUCUACAAUAUAAAGAUGGAAAUGGGAAGAAGAUGUUCAUUGCAAAUUAAGAUAAAUAUCAAGGAGUGCAAUUCCUGGAUUUAUGAUGUCUGAGGAAUAGUCUUAGUGGAUUAUCCCAAACUUGACACAUUUUUUGCAAAAUGCUAUACAAAAAGAAGAUACAUGCGAUUAUGACAAGAUUCUCCACUUGGUGUGACCAGUCUCAUACAACCCAAGGCUGUGUGUCCAAAGGCAACUGUACUGCACAUGACAGAAUUGCUCUGUUGAAGUUUUGCAAGGUCAAAUGACUCACUUUGUCUAAUGGAACGGGAACGAACAAUUUUUUUGUGUCACGUUUGAACAGAUACCUUUGAGAAGUUUAUGAUUCUCCAAGUUCUCUUUCUCCUACUGUGGCACCUACUGACAAGAUAAAUGUGUAGAGGUUCCUGAGUCUAGGGGCACUGGAACCAGCUGACUGAUCUAUGGAAGUUCCCUUGGUCUCCAUUUGUUUAGAAAAGCUGCAAUAAAGCAUAACCAGGAGUACAACAGAUUUCAAUUUCUGUGAGUCCUUCUAGCAAAUUGCCAAAACUGAAGAUGGCUUUGGGAACAUCCAAAGUUAUACCAGAGCUUUCAUGGUGAAAGAAGAGGGCAAAACUCAACCCGUCUCUUUAGACUUGGGAAGAAUAUGAAAGGACCAGGAGGGACACCUUUCCUAAUAACCUAGCUGAUGGUUCACUUAUUAGGCUGGAAAGCUGAAAAAUGACAUUCCCAGACUCCAUUGAAAUUAGAUUUCCAGAGAGUUGUCUCACUAAGCCCAAAUUUGUCUAACUGGCCUUAUUUCCCUGGAGUAUAUCCUGGAAGUUUCCAUUCAAGCCAAUUUAAGUUACUUUAAAUUAGGAAAGGCAGAAAACAAAAGCCCAAACCUUUGUAAAGGAGGAGGAUUUGCUACAUUGUUCUCAAUUCAUCACAGAAGAGGAUGAAACUGAGUGAUUACACUUGCUGGAGAGAAAAAAAGUCCUUCCCCCGCUCACCCCAAAUAAAGCAUUAACUUUAUGUUAAUCCAUGAA
rnacentral:lncRNA from 1 species